UACGAAGGGUGCAAGCGUUAGUCGGAAUUACUGGGCGUAAAGCGUGCGUAGGUGGUUUCUUAAGUCCGUUGUGAAAGCCCUGGGCUCAACCUGGGAACUGCAGUGGAUACUGAGAGGCUAGAGUGUGUCAGAGGAUGGUGGAAUUCCCGGUGUAGCGGUGAAAUGCGUAGAUAUCUGGAGGAACACCGGUGGCGAAGGCGGCGUUCUGGACUGCAACUGACACUGAGGAACGAAAGCCAGGGGAGCAAACAGG
rnacentral:rRNA from 1 species